UCCUGGCUUAGGAUGAACGCUAGCUACAGGCUUAACACAUGCAAGUCGAGGGGUAGCAGGGUAGCAAUACCGCUGACGACCGGCGCACGGGUGAGUAACACGUAUCCAACCUUCCCAUAACUCAGGGAUAGCCUUUCGAAAGAAAGAUUAAUACCUGAUAGUACUUUUUCAAGGCAUCUUGAGAAAGUUAAAGAUUUAUUGGUUAUGGAUGGGGAUGCGUUCCAUUAGAUAGUUGGUGAGGUAACGGCUCACCAAGUCUUCGAUGGAUAGGGGUUCUGAGAGGAAGGUCCCCCACAUUGGUACUGAGACACGGACCAAACUCCUACGGGAGGCAGCAGUGAGGAAUAUUGGUCAAUGGGCGAGAGCCUGAACCAGCCAAGUAGCGUGAAGGAUGAAGGUCCUAUGGAUUGUAAACUUCUUUUAUAGUAGAAUAAAGUGAUCCACGUGGUGGAUUUUUGUAUGUAUACUAUGAAUAAGGAUCGGCUAACUCCGUGCCAGCAGCCGC
rnacentral:rRNA from 1 species